GGGUCAAUAGCUCAGUCGGUAGAGCAGUCGCCUCUUAAGCGAAUGGUCGCAGGUUCGAUCCCUGCUUGACCCACCA
rnacentral:tRNA from 1 species